rnacentral:rRNA from 1 species
CAGUAGCCGCGGUAAUACGUAGGUGGCAAGCGUUGUCCGGAAUUAUUGGGCGUAAAGGGCUCGCAGGCGGUUUCUUAAGUCUGAUGUGAAAGCCCCCGGCUCAACCGGGGAGGGUCAUUGGAAACUGGGAAACUUGAGUGCAGAAGAGGAGAGUGGAAUUCCACGUGUAGCGGUGGAAUGCGUAGAGAUGUGGAGGAACACCAGUGGCGAAGGCGACUCUCUGGUCUGUAACUGACGCUGAGGAGCGAAAGCGUGGGGAGCGAACAGGAUUAGAUACCCCGGUAGUCCCUGUCUCUUAUAC